AUUGAACGCUGGCGGCAGGCCUAACACAUGCAAGUCGAGCGAGCGGCGGACGGGUGAGUAAUGUUUGGGAAACUGCACGAUGGAGGGGGAUAACUACUGGAAACGGUAGCUAAUACCGCAUACCAUCACACGUGCCCAGAUGGGAUUAGCUAGUGGGUGGGGUAACGGCCCACCCAGGCGACGAUCCCUAGCUGGUCUGAGAGGAUGACCAGCCACACUGGAACGGAGACACGGUCCAGACUCCUACGGGAGGCAGCAGUGGGGAAUAUUGGACAAGGGGCGCAAGCCGGAGGCAGCCAUGCCGCGUGUGUGAAGAAGGCCUUCGGGUUGUAAAGCACUUUCAGCGGGGAGGCGUUACCCGCAGAAGAAGCACCGGCUAACUCCGUGCCAGCAGCCGCGGUAAUAC
rnacentral:rRNA from 1 species